AUGGAGGACAUCUCUUUUCUCACGUUUCCGGAUACACCUCCCUCUAUCCCCAGUAUUCCUACUCCUCAUCCCACUGUUGCAGAUUUGAUGCCGUCCUCUCCUAUGGAUUCUUCUCCUCCCUCAUCGCAUGACUCUCCACCAUCAUCGCCAAUACCUUCCCCUUCACCUUCAUCACCAAUACCUUCCCCUUCUCCACCUUCAUCAUCGAUACAUUCCCCGCCUCCGUCUCCACCUCCAUUGAUUCCACCUCUUCCCUCCUUUCCUUUCCAUUAUACUCAUCGUCCACGUGUUGUGGAUGAGUCUACUGAUGUGCCCUCUACUUCUGGUGUGUCGUCUUCCUCCUCUCAACCGACUUAUCGUCUUCGUUCUCGGCCUUGUCCGCCUCCUGACCGAUAUUCUCCUUCACGUUAUGGUCUUUCGACCAUUCUUGAGCCGACUUCUUCGAGAUGCUAUUGUUCAUCCUGA
rnacentral:rRNA from 1 species